rnacentral:rRNA from 1 species
UACGGAGGGUGCAAGCGUUAUCCGGAUUCACUGGGUUUAAAGGGUGCGUAGGUGGGCAGGUAAGUCAGUGGUGAAAUCUCCGAGCUUAACUCGGAAACUGCCAUUGAUACUGUAAGUCUAGAGUACAGUUGCCGUUGGCGGAAUAUGACAUGUAGUGGUGAAAUACUUAGAUAUGUCAUAGAACACCGAUUGCGAAGGCAGCUAACGAAGCUGUAACUGACGCUGAGGCUCGAAAGUGCAGGGAUCAAACAGG